CUAUUCCCUUACCUCCCCUUUAUAGGUGACUCAAGUGUAAUCGUCGAGCAUGUGGUCCCACUUUUUAUGGUACUAAGGGGUAGUUAACUUGAUUAUCAAGCCAUAAUCAUGGAGUUAGUGAAUAGUUUAUGCCCACUAACGAUCGUGGCAUAUAGCUAUUACCUACGAUUGUAGUAUCAUGAUUAUAUAUUUGGCAGUCGAUCGUUUGACAGUCGGC
rnacentral:lncRNA from 1 species